rnacentral:rRNA from 1 species
AACGAACGCUGGCGGCAGGCCUAACACAUGCAAGUCGAGCGAGGACUUCGGUUCUAGCGGCGGACGGGUGAGUAACGCGUGGGAAUGUGCCCUUCUCUACGGAAUAGCCCUGGGAAACUGGGAGUAAUACCGUAUACGCCCUAUUGGGGAAAGAUUUAUCGGAGAAGGAUCAGCCCGCGUUGGAUUAGGUAGUUGGUGGGGUAAUGGCCUACCAAGCCGACGAUCCAUAGCUGGUUUGAGAGGAUGAUCAGCCACACUGGGACUGAGACACGGCCCAGACUCCUACGGGAGGCAGCCGUGGGGAAUCUUAUACAAUGGGGGCAACCCUGAUCUAGCCAUGCCGCGUGAGUGAUGAAGGCCUUAGGGUUGUAAAGCUCUUUCAGCUGGGAAGAUAAUGACGGUACCAGCAGAAGAAGCCCCGGCUAACUCCGUG